GCUGAGCUGCCAUCGCCCUGGAUCCUGAGGCAGGAGGGAGCCACAGUGAGGGCUGAUAAAUCACUGACUCUCUUAGCAGACGUCAGCGCCAGCAGCAGGGCUGUCUUCAUGAACAGAAACUUCGGUGGGAUUUCGGUUAAAAGAAAAAGCUG